rnacentral:rRNA from 1 species
GAACUGAAGAGUUUGAUCAUGGCUCAGAUUGAACGCUGGCGGCAGGCCUAACACAUGCAAGUCGAGCGGAUGACGGGAGCUUGCUCCUUGAUUCAGCGGCGGACGGGUGAGUAAUGCCUAGGAAUCUGCCUGGUAGUGGGGGACAACGUUUCGAAAGGAACGCUAAUACCGCAUACGUCCUACGGGAGAAAGCAGGGGACCUUCGGGCCUUGCGCUAUCAGAUGAGCCUAGGUC